AUGCGUUCCCCAACUGGGGAGGCUAUAUUUGGAGGGGAAACUAUGCGUUUUUUGGACCUUCGUGCUCCAUGGUUAGACCCUCUAAGGGGCCCCAAUGGUUUGGACUUUAGUAGGUUGAAAAAAUACAUACAACCUUGGCAAGAACGACACUCAGCAGAAUAUAAGACCCACACUCCUUUAGGCUCUUUAAAUUCUGUGGGUGGCGGAGCUACCGAAAUCAAUUCAGUUAAUUAUGUCUCUCCCAAAAGUUGGUUAUCAACUUCUCAUUUUGUUCUAGGAUUCUUCUUUUUUGUGGGCCAUUUAUGGCAUGCAGGAAGAGCCCGAGCUGCUGCAGCAGGUUUUGAAAAGGGAAUCGAUCGUGAUUUGGAACAUGUUCUUCACAUGAACCCUCUUAACUAA
rnacentral:rRNA from 1 species